CAACCCUCAAGCCCGGCUUGGUGUUGGGGCCCCACGGUCGACGUGGGCCCUUAAAGGUAGUGGCGGACCCUCCCGGAGCCUCCUUUGCGUAGUAACUUAACGUCUCGCACUGGGAUCCGGAGGGACUCUUGCCGUAAAACCCCCCAAACUUUUACCA
rnacentral:misc_RNA from 1 species